AGCUCAGGCGAUGCUGGAUUUCGGCAUUAACGUCAACCCUUGUGGAAAGACCGCUGCCCAGGUUCAGGAUAAGUGAUUGACAUUUUCCAGCGUUACAUACACCGUUAAGUUGGAUUUGUGGCACUGCAGAGGAUAGCCAUCAUGGCUAGUAGUCAUCAUUAGUUUUAUCUUCCAUGCUUGGUUUUCCAACUUGCGCAGGCCUCGGACACCAGUGUCUGUUUCCCUGCUGUUUUCCACUUGCAGAUUAAAUAAAUGGAUGUUCUUAAACGGCUGCCCUUUCCACACCGUGUCACCGACCCUUUCUGAAAGCCAUUUAACCAAGCGGCUCCAGGGCGGCUUCUGCGCUUCGGCCGUGUCAGAGGAGUUCAAACGCUGCGGACAAAUCGUCAGCGCAACCAUAGGACAAGAGAGGGCAUUUUCGACCAGGCCUGGACAAUACAAGCUCUGACAAGGAUGGUGCUGGGGAGGAGUGCGCAGCUGAGGUAUCAGGGCUCAUUUGCCGGAGAGUCGCUCAGCACCGUCAAGACCACCCCACGGCAUGCCCACGGCCGUUCUGGCAACGCAGAAGCUCCCCCUUCCAGAGGAGAAAGUCACUUUGGGAAAGAGAUGACAGCCUCGCUGCCACACAUGGCGUUUCGUCUCUUGGCGACCUCUCUCGUCAGCUCAGCUCAACUUAAAUGCAUGCUGGGUUUCUGUGGUGAGCGCAUGCAUCUUAAAAUGCGCAAUUUGCUCGCUCUGGGUUCUGAACUCUGCCGAAUUGCACUCUUUCCCUCACCAAAUCUUGCUAUAAAGAUGGGAAAGAAGAGGCGCCUCUGUUUCCCUGAGGAACGGAAUAGCAUAAUAGCAGAAAGCCUUUUUGAACCAAAGCAGCUACUGCAGCAGCAAUUCUUCCAAUAAGUGAACUCACUGUCGCUUCAAAGAGGAAAGGUUUGGGGAGGGUCCCCCCACCACCACUUUUUGCUUCAUCUCUUCAUCCCAAGCAGUAUGACAUGGUACAAAUCACUUCUGGGAAGACAAGGCAUGCUCGGGUGGGCUUGUGGAUGGACACCCCUCAUGUGAAGGUGCCAUUUUGCAUGAACCAGCACCGAAGGCUGAGUGAGUAUGAUUGUCUACAUGACCAUGAAUAACUUUCCUGAUUGUAAGAUGCUUUGCGCAGCGGGGGAAAGCAUGGACAGAAAUUAAAUGAAGCUAAAACUCAGCUUCCAUCCUAGCUUUGAUCAGUUUUAAAUGUUCACACAGAAUUAAAAACACAUGAUCUUUCUCCCUUUUCCCUUCCCCCCACCCUGCCGCCACACUCUGCUUUCCACGAUAAUUUCCCUUAAAAGACAAAACUCUCAUACUCUCAGCCAACCUGAUACAACUGCUCCCCCUACUGGCGAAUGAUAGCAUAGCAUCGGGCACACAGAACUUUGCUGCACGGAAAGUGCCUUAAGCACAUUACCCCUGCUGCAAGCUACAUGUAAAGAUUGCCAACUGGCUUCCCACCCAGUGCUUCAGGGAAGGGCCAUAGCUCAGUGCUCAUGCAAAAGACCCCAGGUUCAAUCCCCAGCCCAGCAUCUCCAGGUAGGGGUGGGAG